rnacentral:pre_miRNA from 1 species
CGGGGGUUGCCGGAUCUUGGGCUGUGUCUCCCAGUUCUCUGUGCUCCGGGGCCUGCACCGCUGGAAUCGUCCUCCCGUGGCUGUACAGCCCCCU